rnacentral:rRNA from 1 species
AUUGAACGCUGGCGGCAUGCCUUACACAUGCAAGUCGAACGGUAACAGGUUAAGCUGACGAGUGGCGAACGGGCGAGUAAUGUAUCGGAACGUGCCCAGUCGUGGGGGAUAACUGCUCGAAAGAGCAGCUAAUACCGCAUACGACCUGAGGGUGAAAGCGGGGGAUCGCAAGACCUCGCGCGAUUGGAGCGGCCGAUAUCAGAUUAGGUAGUUGGUGGGGUAAAGGCCUACCAAGCCUACGAUCUGUAGCUGGUCUGAGAGGACGACCAGCCACACUGGGACUGAGACACGGCCCAGACUCCUACGGGAGGCAGCAGUGGGGAAUUUUGGACAAUGAACGCAAGUCUGAUCCAGCCAUGCCGCGUGCGGGAAGAAGGCCUUCGGGUUGUAAACCGCUUUUGUCAGGGAAGAAAAGGUUCUGGUUAAUACCUGGGACUCAUGACGGUAUCUGAAGAAUAAGCACCGGCUAACUACGUGCCAGCCGCCGCAGUAACAC